UUUUUUUGGGAGAAAACUUAAAAAAAAACCCCUGCGGUUUUGCACUUUUUCAUUUUAAUACCCUGUGGUUUAAAAUGUAUCAAGUUAGUACCCUGUGGUUUCGCACUUUCUCACUUUAGUACUCUGUGGUUUAAAGUGUAUCAAGUUAGUACUCUGUGGUUUUAUUUUUGUAUCAAGUUAGUACCAUGUGGUUUUAUUUUUGUGUCAAGUUAGUACUCUAUGGUUUCAAUUUUUUUUAAUAAAAUAUUAAACCACAGGGUACUAAAGUGAGAAAGUGCAAAACCACAUGGUACUAACUUGAAACACUUUAAACCACAGGGUACUAAACUGAGAAAGUGCGAAACCACAGGGUAUAACUUGAUACACUUUAAACCAUAUGGUACUAAAG
rnacentral:lncRNA from 1 species